rnacentral:rRNA from 1 species
AUUGAACGCUGGCGGCAGGCCUAACACAUGCAAGUCGAGCGGGGUUUUCGGACCUAGCGGCGGACGGGUGAGUAAUGCGUAGGAAGCUGCCCGAUAGAGGGGGAUACCAGUUGGAAACGACUGUUAACACCGCAUAAUGUCUACGGACCAAAGUGUGGGACCUUCGGGCCACAUGCUAUCGGAUGCGCCUACGUGGGAUU